CACACAAAACACAUGUAGUUUAUGAAAUACAAUGUUUUAUUAUAAAUUAAACUACCCAACAAUUUACAGUACAGGCCUACAAGCUGCAGCUGAAAGGAUUACCCGAUUAAACACUCGGUUGAUUGAAAGAACUGUUUGGAUCGUUUCCAGUUCCUAAAAUGUGAGGGUUUUUCUGCAGCGAGUACUUUUACUUUUAAUACUUUAAGAACACUUUUCUGAUGAUACUUAAAUACUUUUACUUAAG